UACGGGGGGGGGCAAGCGUUGUUCGGAAUUACUGGGCGUAAAGGGCUCGUAGGCGGCCAACUAAGUCGGAUGUGAAAUCCCCAGGCUUAACCUGGGAACUGCAUCCGAUACUGGAUGGCUUGAAUCCGGGAGAGGGAUGCAGAAUUCCAGGUGUAGCGGUGAAAUGCGUAGAUAUCUGGAGGAAUACCGGUGGCGAAGGCGGCAUCCUGGACCGGCAUUGACGCUGAGGAGCGAAAGCGUGGGGAGCAAACAGG
rnacentral:rRNA from 1 species